ACKGCUCAGUAACACGUGGCCAACUUACCCUUAGGACAGGAAUAACCUCGGGAAACUGGGGCUAAUGCCUGAUCGACAGAGAUGCCUGGAAUGGUUUUCUGCCCAAAGAGGGUUGGGACCAUGCAUUCAACCCUGCCUAAGGAUAGGGCCGCACCCGAUCAGGUUGUUGGUGAGGUAACGGCUCACCAAGCCUAUAACCGGUACGGGCCGUGAAAGCGGGAGCCCGGAGAUGGGCACUGAGAUAAGGGCCCAAGCCCUACGGGGCGCAGCAGGCGCGAAACCUCCGCAAUGCGCGAAAGCGUGACGGGGUCAUCCCGAGUGCUGUCCGCUGAGGGCAACUUUUGUUCGGUGUAAGGAGCCGGACGAAUAAGGGGAGGGCAAGUCUGGUGUCAGCCGCCGCGGUAAUACCAGCUCCCCGAGUGGUUGGGACGAUUAUUUGGUCUAAAGCGUUCGUAGCCGGUUGGAGAAGUUCUCCGUUAAAUCCAACGAUCCAAUCGUUGGGCUGCGGAGAUUACUCUUCAGCUUGGGGGCGGAGGAUGUCGACGGUAGUCCCGGGGUAGGGGCGAAAUCCUAUAAUCCCGGGAGGACCACCAGUGGCGAAGGCGGUCGACAAAUACGCGCCCGACGGUGAGGGACGAAAGCUGGGGGAGCGAACGGGAUUAGAUACCCCGGUAGUCCCAGCUGUAAACGAUGCAGGCUAGGUGUUAGGACGGCUACGGGCCGUUCUAGUGCCGCAGGGAAGCCGUUAAGUCUGCCACCUGGGAAGUACGGUCGCAAGGCUGAAACUUAAAGGAAUUGGCGGGGGAGCAC
rnacentral:rRNA from 1 species